rnacentral:lncRNA from 1 species
AAAUGUUUCUUCUAUGGCAUCACUGCGAGGAAAAUAAAUAAAAAUAAAUAAAUAAAAUAAAACCUUUUGGAAACUUUAUUUCCAAGAGUGUACAGUCAAGGCUCUGGGGUGGCGGAUGCAACUUCCUAUCAGUAUCAAAUAUAAUGCUGAUUACAUUUCACACAGAAUAAUUAUGCCUAAAGUCUUAUUAGAGAAAACUGAAUUGCCAGACUCAACCGUAAACUUGUCAGGAAGAUCUUUGAACUUCAGGUGAAUCCUUUAUAAUUCUAUUGCCAUCAUUAAAUGAGGGAGGAAAAGACAACAACAAAAAAGUGAUCUACUACUACUACUAGUUUGAGGUUGGUUUCAUUUUUCUGUAUAUAUAUGUCUCUCUUCAAGGGUAGAAGUAGUAGGGAAAAUUUUUUAUAAGGCUUUGCAGUUUUUACGACUUGAAAGUGGAUGUCUCACUUAUAGAUUCUAACAAGGUCACAGUUGUCAACAAGUGGCAAGGCCGUAGAGUGAUAUACUGUGGCCUGAAGCAAACAACAUUUCUCAUCAUCCUAUUGGAAUGCUUAGUGUACGAGCAGCCCAGGAAAUCUGGACGCCCAUCGCUGGGUCGAGAUCCAAGGUGCUCCGAGCUCUGUCACAGGCCAACUCAUUCUGCUGAUUUAUGACUGGCUCAAAAACAACCUUCAAGCUGUAAAGUAUCCAACAAUUUCUCUCUCUUUUAAAGUCUCUGUGCAUCUUUUCAUCACUGGAUUCUGGAUCUGGGCGGAUACAGUGUUGUAAGAGGCAUGAUGUGUAUGUUUAAGUUGUUGGACAUAAUACGUUUUAUAAUAAAUGUAUACAAUAAUGUUAUAAUAAAUUGUAUAAUAUUAUAUAAUAUUAUUACACAGCUCUGUGGAGUACUCGAUUCUGAUUGGUCAGCCACCACAUUCCGAGAGUCCCCGUUCUAUGAAGCCCUCUAAAGAAAUAAUGCUACCAUUGACAGGUGAUUUAUGGAGACUGUUUCCAGAAAGCGGGAUUAAGUAAGGACACAUAUUCAGCUGCCGGACACAGAUAGCAGCCGCCGCUGUGUUUAUGGAUUCUGCUUAAGCAGUGGCUCAGGAAUAGUCAGAGGCUCUCAGCUUCACAAGUGCACAAACACAGCACUGAAGUGUAAGCCAUCAUGUCCUGCUGUGUUACACAGAAAUAAAAGGUCUCUGUGCGCCACAGAUUACAGAAUUUAGAACGAGUCGGGAAGUGUUAUGGAUAGGGAUGAGAGGUGCAAGGACUUUAACGAUUCUGGUACCAAUUCACAUUCCUAUUAACAACUAUAGUUUGUUAAUGAUUACAUUAAUGAUUCUUUUAGAACUUUUGAGAAAGAAAUAUAUGGAAAGGACACUUGUGACUGUAAAGAGCCAUUUCUACCUCAUCUGACAUAUAACGAUCACUUGUAACCUAAUGCAGACAGG